GGUCUUUUUUCAACCCUAUGUAACUAUGUAACUAUAUGAAGAGAAAAUUUAAAUCCAACUACCUGGUACCCGAGGAAUGGGCAUCGGUAGUCAAUGACAGAGAACCCCCAUCCAAGGGCAAAAAGAGCAUGGAAACAUCAGGCACUCAUGUAGUGACAUUAUCUAACCCAUCUUAGACUUAGUCAACCAGUGCCAGACCAUACACUCUCAACUCCAAAUUCAGUAAGAAAUAAUGCAGUUUUUGGUCUGGAGAGCCUAGAACAGGGGAAAAUGGGUCUCUCCACAGAGUCAGGGGAGCAGCACCUGCCUCCAACACAUUUAGAGGUUCUGCACAUGAAGUAUAAAGGGACGCCCAGUAAAACAUCUGCAGGGUGGGUAGUCAAUGCCCCUGAGGUGCUGAGUUUUGGGGACUGCAACCAUACUCAGUUUUCGGUGCCCCAGGGUAUUAUCUACCCUAGACCUUCUCCAUCAUGAAUUUGCCUAAAGCAGUACCAUUACUGGCAUACUGUAAGUGGCUUGCAUAUUUUAACAUCCUUGGUGCAUAACCUCACAUUUAUCUAUGUUGAAUCUCAUCUGUGACUUAGUGACCCAGCCUGCCAAGAUCCUGCUGCAUGAUGGCGUAUCUAACCUUCUUAUCUAAAUGAAACUAGCCUACUAGUUGACUUUAGAUGAGGUUUUUUUAUUUGUUUUCCUCUGGAUCAUGCAAUAUUUGCCUUUAGAAGGCAAACCACUUUGCAACCACUUUACCAUAGUGCCAGCACAAAGGUAGAAGCAUCAAUACGUUCUCUUGCCAUGGUGGUAGUUCCAGAGUUUUAAUCAGGGGUGUUCCUGGCACCAUGGCUACCCUGAGGUUGCCUACCCAUUGCACGCUACGCUUAUCUCUCUGGGCAUCAGAGCGGGGCAAGCCGCAUCGCUAGUGCAGAGAGUGCUAUAGUGCUCUCUGUGCUAGAACAGCCACCCCUGGCAACAUGUGGGCUGCUGCCACCUGAGGCAAGAAUUUCAACUCGCCUCAUGACAGCAGCGCCUCUGGUUCCAGUAGCAGGUUGCAUGAAUAGUCAUUACUAGUCAUUAGCAAAAAUCUAAUAUGAUGCUAAUGUCAUUAUUAACUCCACACACAUUUGCACAAAGGACGUUAUCUUUCACUCCCUGAAACACGCACUGCAAUUAGUGCACGUAUUGCACAGUAUGCCAGAAUGCUCGUAAGCAAAAAGAAAAGCUGCUUUGUGGAUAAACGACUUGGAGAUUUUUUCAGCCAAAAUGUGUAAACUGCACCAUAUGCUACUAAAUACAAAGAUCUUAGCGUAUUUAAUAUGUACAGGGGAGAUAAGCUGAAUAUAAACCAUUUAUUUUAUAACCUAUUCACUACAACAGUGUUUGCAAGGUUCUAUUCAAACAUGUGUUGUGAUUAUUCUGUUAUGUUUUUAUACUUUUUUCAACCUUUUCAUUUGUAUUCUUUUACUUGACUUCUAAGCAGUCAUUUAAUCAGUUUGUUUCUAUUUACAUUCAAUGGAGGAUGUUGACAUAGAUGAGAAGGAUAUGAUGUCAUCAGUAUGGGACAAUCAUUAUGUCAUCACUGUGGGUUUUCCCUCCAUUUUGGGUUUAUAAGGGAGGGGACUGUGACGCUUUGUAAUUUUGUCAAAGGCUGUGAACAUAGUGGUGUGCUGCUACAACUCCUGUGGAAGAGGAUGCAACAGAUGAACUCAUAAAACUGGUAAGUGUAAUAUUAAUCUAUCUAAUCUAUCUAGUGUGGGUGGAUGGAAAAAAUAAUUUUGCAUUGUUGUAUUUUGUUUAUCCUGUGCUUCUUUGUUUUACAAGUUUACAUGCAUUAGGAAAGAUUCUUUACUUAACUUGUUUUUGCAUGUUUUCCUCUUGUUAAAAGCCAGACAAAACCUUAGCCACUUUGGUACUUCAUCCUUGGCAUGUUUUUUGGUUUGUGCUUUUAUUUGGUAUGUAUGAGCGGAUAGAGAAAUACAUGUUGGCAUUGUGAACCUUCAGCUCAGGCAUGUGUUCCUUUUUACAGGUUUUCCUAGUUUGGAAACCAUCUAGGCUGUAUUGUACUUUAGACUUAUUUGGGAUCCUGUUUCUUCUGGUGAGUAUAAGUGGAUGGACAAAUGCAUUUUGGCUUGUUCUUCAGCCCCAGGCAUCUUUGUUUUAUAGGUUGGGCGUGAUGCACGUAGGGCAACCGUGUAUAUAGGUAACCUUGGACUGCUUAAGCUUGCGGCCAGUAGGUGAAUACAAGAAUAGGUGUGCAUUCAUAAGAGCAGUGGCUCUUAACCCUGAGCAUGUGUUUGUUUUCACAGGUUUUCCUGCUAAUGCUGUCUGCUGGAGCUUGAGAUUGGUAUGUUUGUUUAUGAAUGUACACCUAUUUCUCUACUAAGUAAAUUUGUUUGGCAGGUUUUGGGAACAGUCUAGCCUUUGUGGUACUUCAGCUUUACCUGGCAUCCUGCUUCGCUUUGGUGUGUUUUCAUGCUUCUGCCCAGGAAUCUUUGUUUUACAGGUUGAUCAUGAUCUUGGACUGCUUUAGUCUGAGACCACUAGGUAAGUAGAAUAGGUGUGCCUCCAUCAGGACAGUGAUUUUUAAGCCUGGGCAUGUUUUUGUUUUUACAGGUUUUCCUGGUUUGAAAAAAGUCUAGUCACAGCGGUACUUUUGCAUUAAUUGGGACCCUGUUUCUUCUGGUAUGUACGAAUGGAUGGACAAGUUAAUUUUGCAUUGUCAUUCUAUAAAUUGGGCCUCUUUGUUUUAUAGGUUGUUCAUGCUGUAAAAAAGGCGAGCAGUGUAGACUGGUAACCUUGGACUGAUGGAGUUUCUGACCAGUAGAUGAGUAAAAGAAAAGGUGUGUAUUCAUAAGGAAAUUGAUUCUUUAGCAUGGGUAUGUUUUUGUUUUUACAGGUUUUCCUGGUUGGGGAAAAAAGCCUAGAAACUGUGGUACUUUAGCCUUUUUUUUGGUAAGUAUGGGUGUAUAGAGAAAUACAUUUUGGAAUUGUUGUUUGUUUGGCUAGGGCAUCUUUGUUUCUCUGUUUUUGGUAGGUAGAUGAGUCGCUUGAGAAAUACGUGUUUUCAUUAUUCAGCCCAGAAUUCUUUGUUUUACAUGUCGAUCGUGAUCGUAGGAAAGGCAUACAGCGUGGGCAGGUAGCCUUGGACUGCAUGAGUUUGUGACCAGUAGAUAAGUAGAAUAGAGGUGCAUUAAUAAAAAAAAAAAAAAAAAAAGCGAUCCAUUAGCCCAGGCAUGCAUUUGUUUUUACAGGCUUUCCUGAUUUGGGAAAUGUUUAAUCAGUGUGGUACUUCAUUCUUGGUGUUUUUUUCUGGGAUCUUGGUAAGUAUGAGUGGGUGGACAAAUUUGGGCAGUUUGCUCUUUUAUUCUUCAGCCUAUCUGAUUUUUUUUACAGGUUAGGUCCAUGUAUAAGAGUGUAGUCUGGUAACUAUUCCUCUACUAAGUGUUUUUUUUUUUCAGCCCAUGCAGGUAUUUGUUUGGCAGGUUUUGGUAACAGUCUAGCCUUUGUGGUACUUCAGUCUUACCUGGGCUCCUGCUUUUCUUUGGUGAGUAAAUGCGUGGAUGAAGAAAUUCCUAUUGGUCUUUUCAUUCUUCAGCCCAGAAAUCUUUGUUUUACAGGUUGAUUAUUAUGUAGAAAAAGGCAAGCAACAUAGGCAUAUGUAGCCUUGUACUGCUUGAGUCUGAGACCACUAGGUAAGUAGAAGAAUAGGUGUGCAUUCAUAAGGACAGUGAUUUUUAAACCUGGGCAUGUUUUAGUUUUGCAAGUUAUCCUGGUUUGGAAACCGUCUAGUUACAGUGGUACUUCAGCCUUAAUUGGGGUCUUGUUUCUUCUGGUAAUUAUGAGUGAAUGUACAAAGUCCUAUUGACAUUGUGAUUCUUCAGGUCAGGCUUGUAUUUGUUUUACACAAAAAAAGGUACUUUUUCCUUGGCAGGUUUUUUGGGAUGCAGUUUCCUUUGGUAAGUAGAAGUAGAAGACCAAAUUAAUUUUGUCAUUGUAAUUCUUUAGCCCAGUCAUCUUUGUUUUUCAGGUUGGCACUGAUGUAGCAAAAGGCGAGCAGUGGAGGCCGCGUAAUCUUGUCUGCUGCGGCUUGUGAUCAGCAGGUGAGAAAAGGAGUAAGGGCGCAUGAGAUGAGUAGACUGUAUCUUUAGCCCAGGCAUGUAUUUGUAUUUACAGGUUUUCCUCAUAUGAAACAUCUACCCCCUUGGGUACUUGGUAGUUCUCUUGGGAUUCUCUUCUUUUGGUAUGUAUGAAUGUUUGAAGAAAUUAAUUUUGCAUUGUCAUUUUUCAUGCCGGGCAUCUUUGUGUUAUAGGUUGAGCCCUUUUAUAGGAAGGGAUAGCAGCAGAGGCAGACAACCUUGGACUGCUGGAGAACGCUAUAGGUAGGUGAGUGCAUAAGGAUUCUGUAUCUCUAGGAAUGUAUUUGUUUUUACAGGUUUUCCUGGUUUGGGAAAUAUUUAGUCAAUGUGGUAUGUCAUCCUUCACCGGUUUCUUGGGUGUGGAAGGACAAAUGCAUUUUGGUGUUGUCAUUCUUCUGACUGUGCAUCUGUUUUGCAGGUUGGGCCCAUGUGUAAGAAAGGGUAGACCGUAGAGGAAUAUGUGUGUGCAUUUAUAAAAGUCUUUUUUCAGCCCAGGAAUAUAUUUGUUUUGGAAACAGUCUAGCCUUUGUGGUACUUCAGCAUCACCUGGGAUCCUGCUUCUCUUUGGUAGGUAUGUGCAUGGAUGAAGAACUUGCUAUUGGUGUUUUCAUUCUUCAGCACAGAAAUCUUUGUUUUACAGGUUAAACAUGAUGCACAAAAGGCUAGCGGCAUAGGCAGGUAGCCUUGGACUGCUUGAGUUUGUGAAUGGUACAUCAUGCUUCUGGUACGUAUGGUAGAACUUUCUAUUGGUUUGGGAUUCUUCAGCCCAGGCAUGUGUUCAUUUUUACAGGUUCUCCUUGUUUGGGAAAGAUCUAGCCACUGGCAUUUCAUUCUUGGUAGGUUUCUUGGCAUCCUGUUUCUUUUGGUAGGUAUGAGUGGCUUGAGCAAUUAAUUUUGCAUACCUAAUUUAGCAUAAGAGACUGUUUGUUCGGCCUAGGCAUGUAUUCAUUUUUCCAGGUUGUCUUGGUUUGGGAAACAUCUAGCCAAUGUGUUACUACAUUCUUACUUCAGUCUUUGGGAUCCUGUAUCUUUUGGUAAGUAUGAGUGGAUAGACAAAUUUCUUUAGGCAUUGUGAUUCUUCAGCCCAGGAAUGUAUUUGUUUUUACAGGUUUUCCCUCAUGAAACAUGUAGCCACUUCAGUACAUCAUCCUGUGCAAGUUUCUUGGAAUGCAGUUUCUUUUGGUAAGUAUGAGUGGAAGAACAAAUUAAUUUUGGCAUUGUGAUUCUUCAGCCCAAGUAUCUAUUUGUUUUAUAGCUUGAGACAUUACAUGGGAAAAAGUCCAGAGAUGGUUAAGCUUCACCCUUGGCUGGUUGCUGCCUGGUUUGAUGAAGUCCCCAGCCUUGCAGCAGUUUCCUUAUGAUGAUGCCCCACCAACUCCACACCCAAGGCAACAGCCCUUCUUGCUUGGACCGAACAAGAUGAGUGGAUGAGAAACCUGAUGUCUCCUCUUUAUCACCGUGCCAUGAUGUAUCCAGUUGCAUUUUAUAUUUGUAUAUGGAUUGUAAAAUGUUUGUUUUUUAUUAAACACAUUUUUAUUUCACUUUCAA